rnacentral:rRNA from 1 species
AGUCGAGCGAGCUUGCCUAGAUGAAUUUGGUGCUUGCACCAGAUGAAACUAGAUACAAGCGAGCGGCGGACGGGUGAGUAACACGUGGGUAACCUGCCCAAGAGACUGGGAUAACACCUGGAAACAGAUGCUAAUACCGGAUAACAACACUAGACGCAUGUCUAGAAUUUAAAAGAUGGUUCUGCUAUCACUCUUGGAUGGACCUGCGGUGCAUUAGCUAGUUGGUAAGGUAACGGCUUACCAAGGCAAUGAUGCAUAGCCGAGUUGAGAGACUGAUCGGCCACAUUGGGACUGAGACACGGCCCAAACUCCUACGGGAGGCAGCAGUAGGGAAUCUUCCACAAUGGACGCAAGUCUGAUGGAGCAACGCCGCGUGAGUGAAGAAGGGUUUCGGCUCGUAAAGCUCUGUUGGUAGUGAAGAAAGAUAGAGGUAGUAACUGGCCUUUAUUUGACGGUAAUUACUUAGAAAGUCACGGCUAACUACGUGCCAGCAGCCGCGGUAAUACGUAGGUGGCAAGCGUUGUCCGGAUUUAUUGGGCGUAAAGCGAGUGCAGGCGGUUCAAUAAGUCUGAUGUGAAAGCCUUCGGCUCAACCGGAGAAUUGCAUCAGAAACUGUUGAACUUGAGUGCAGAAGAGGAGAGUGGAACUCCAUGUGUAGCGGUGGAAUGCGUAGAUAUAUGGAAGAACACCAGUGGCGAAGGCGGCUCUCUGGUCUGCAACUGACGCUGAGGCUCGAAAGCAUGGGUAGCGAACAGGAUUAGAUACCCUGGUAGUCCAUGCCGUAAACGAUGAGUGCUAAGUGUUGGGAGGUUUCCGCCUCUCAGUGCUGCAGCUAAC